rnacentral:lncRNA from 1 species
CCCCCGCCUCAGCAUAUGGAGUUCCCUGGGCCAGGGGUCAGACCUGAGCCGCAGUUGCAACCAAUGCCACAGCUGCAGCAACUCCCGAUCCUUUAACCCUUAACCCACCGUGCUGGGCCAGGGAUCGAACCUGCGUCCUGGAGCUGCAGAGAAGCUUCCGGUCCCAUUGUACCACCCCAGGAACACCAGGUAUUACAUCUUUUUUUGUCGUUGUUGUCUUUUUAGGGCUGCACCUGCAGCAUAUGAAGGUUCCCAGGCUAGAGGUCCAAUCAGAGCUGUAGCCGCCAGCCUACACCACAGCCACAGCAAUGUGGGAUCCGAGCUGCAUCUGUGACCUGUACCACAGCUCAUGGCAACGCUGGAUCCUUAACCCACUGAGCGAGGCCAGGGAUGGAACCCACAUCCUUAUGGAUGCUAGUCAGGUUCGUUAACCGCUGAGCCACAAUGGGAACUCCCUGUUAGAGAGGACAAGGGACAAGUCUUCUCGGCAAAGCCUGCCUGGGUUCAUAGCCUCACUCAACCCUUGACUAGCUCAUGACCUUGAACAAGUCACUCCACCUUUCUGAGCCUCAGUUUCCUCAUGUGUCAACCAUGGAUAGCAAUAGUAAUGACCUCCCGGAGUCAAAUGAGCUAAUACAUCCCAAGUGUUGAAGGCGGGGGGCGGGGACUCCAAGAAUGUCAUCAGUUUUCCCUGCGGCCACUAUUAUCGCUCCAAGAUGCGCGCAUCUGCACACGCACCUGCACAUGCACACACCCACCUGUGAACUCCGGAGACACGGCUGGGAGCGGGGCCCAUGGCUGGGAAGGGCACAAGCAUGUCCCCUUGGACUAGGGGGCGGGGGGCUGUCCUCACAUAGUUCUCCCCCCAUUUCUGUUAGAGUCCCCCGCCCCCGAUCCUGGGGAGGCUCCGGCCAGUGUGGCUGUGAGUACCAGCGAGGCAGGAGAGACCCCGGAAGGCAGACAGACAGACCGCCUCUCUCGGGCCUCGGGAAACCUGGGAGGGCCCCCCCCCCCCACUGCCUCUGCAGCCUUGAGCCCUGUGUCCUGUAUACAAAGGCAAGGGAAGCAGCGUGUUUGUUUUCCUGGGGCCAAGGCAAUGCAUUUUUAGCUCCUCCAAUUCUCCAGACAAGGAAGAGGAUGUUUGGACGGGCAGCUCUGAUCUACCUGUCCUGGAAGCUGCCUGGAAAUGGAGUAAAGCCCCCCAGGGUGAGGGGAGCAGGGCCAGACAGGCUGGGAGACGAUGCGACCUGGACCCAAGGCUGACGGGCUCCCUCCCCCUCGAGAAGCUUCAUUCUCACUCACCUUUUGCUGCUCACCUGCCGGGCCUGGAGCGCCCUGAUAAACGCAAACGACCUGACUUCUAGAGCAUUCGCCCUGGGUGGGGCUCUGGGGCAAGACCUCUACCUGAACUGACAGCCUUGAGGGGAAAUGCAGCAAUUAUUACCAUUUUAUCAGCAAAGAAACAAGGCUGGCUGGGUCCUUGCCUGCUUCCUGGAGGGCUGGUGCUCUCAUCAACGUGUUCAUACCUGGAGGAGGGGGGCGCUGAGGCCCAGAGAGGGAUACGAACUUGCCCGGCGUCACCCAGCAAGGAAGUCACAGCACCGGCAUUCGAAUCCAGGGCUGUCCCACCGAAAGCCACACCUUUGCCCCCCUCCCCGGGUUGCGAUGCCUCCCUGCGUGGCCCGAAUCAGAGCUGCCCAGCUUUUCGUGUCAUUUCGCACGCAGAAAAGUAGGCAAAUGAAGGGAGCUGGAUGCAGGAGGCUGUGCCCCCAGCACCCAGCCCCCAUCCCAGAACGGGAGGACCCCACUCGAUGUGGCUGAGCCAGACCUUCCCAGAUCAGGGCGUCCCGGCUGCCGUGUUCUGAAGAUUUGACUGGGAAUUCUGGAAGGGGUGGGGACAGGCCUAUAGCAGGCAGUCUUGGCGGGGGAUGACUACGACAGUACACGGGCCUUCAGCAGCUUUCCAGAGGACAAUAGUUGUGACUGCAGGAAACAUAACAGACCUGUCAAAAGAAUGGGAACCCAACCCAGAGUAAAAGUCACAAGUUUCUCAUCAAUAUUCAUAAGAACAAAUGUUUACGUGGCACCUGCUUUGUUGGCAGCUUUCUCCAAGCCCUUUAGGUGUAUUAAUUCGGUUAAGCCUGGAAACAGGCCUUCGGGAGAAGAGCUGGGAUCACCCCAUUUUACAGAUGGGGAAACCAAGGCCCGGAACAGCUCUGCAGGCUCAGGGAUGAGUGAGGGCUGAGCUGGGAUUUGAACCUGGGCAGCUAGAGCCAGCAUCACUCUCUGGAUGUCUACACCUGGGUGCCAGGCCAGGCAAAGGGGAAAACUCACAGGUGCCCAGUUCAGCUGGACCCUGCCCUCGCUCACCCACAGAUUCUGGCGCAGCUUCACCCUUCCUGGGGCGGGCCCUCUGCUGGGCAGGGGUCUGGCUCCCUGGCUGGAGGAGGCCCCUCUGGCUGUCAUGAAUGAUACCCACUUCACCAGGCUGAGGCAGGACAAGGGACCCUAGGGGCUGCUGGAGAGGAAGUGCGCAUGGGAGGUAUGCCCAUCCUGUCCUGGUCCUUCUCUCUCCCUUGCCCCAGCUCACCACCUGAGUCCCCAGCCCGUGCCACCGCCAUGCGGAAGCUCCCCUUUGAGAGAAGUUCUGACAUGGCUUCGAGGUUUAAGAUCCUGUCCUCGAGGGAAAAGCCAAGGGCAUUCAGAAGGGACAUCUGAGGUUCAGAGACAUCAUGUGACAUGCCCAAGGUCACACAGUGAGUCAGGGACAGAAUGGGUGAUAGUUCUGCCAACUCCAGAUACCCCUGGCUCCUCCUCUGCAGUGGGGAAGCACCCUCCUCCCCCAACCCCGGGUGGUGGCUCUGGAAGGGUGUUCCGUGGCAGAGGGCAAGGAGCAUGUGGGUGGGAGGGAAGGGGCUGGGUGAGGCUGGGCAGGGGUUCCGGAGGAGUAGCUGAUGGCUUAUUUUUACCCCAAAUCGCCUUUACUCUUGCUGUCCCCUCCCUUUGUGCACUUCUCCAUCCCAGUCUCACCCACUGGGAUGCUUUUCCUGGGGGCGAGUUCCCAGAAGUGGCACGUUGUCCCUUCCCACCACUGCCUGGAGGCCACCGGAGGCUGUUGCACAUGCUGCGGGUAUCUUAGGUCCUCACCAGGACUGUGAGUUUCUGACAGCAGGAACCGUGAGCCUGAGCGGGAGUGUGGAUUGAUGGACAAGGAUCCUGCUGGGUAAGCCCCGCAGACCUGCCUCCAAGACCCUGCAGGUGCUGGUUAUAGGCUGUGUGACCUUGACCUCUCUGAGCCCCAGUUUCCUCAUCCAAAGACUGGGAUAGCCACAUUGGCUUUGCAGGGUUGCUCUGGGGAUCAUAUAUGAGAAAGGGUGUGAAGGUGCCAGCCCACUGCCUGGCACCACACAUUUGCUUGGCACACCGUGCAGUUAGCACCUUUUCAUCGAGGUCUAGAUCUCCACCAUUGCAUGUGACCCGUCAACGAGCAGCAGUGUCCCCUGGGGGCUUGUUAGAAUUGCACCGUGCCAGGCCUACCCUAGACCCGCUGAGUCAGAAUGUGUAUUUUAAGAAGACCCCUGGUGACCCAUGUGCGCCAUUUGAAUGGCACUGAUCUAAAUCAUGGGUCAAAAAUGGUCCAACAUGUGAUUUCAUCUGCUCAACCGCCGAACCACCUGACGAUCCAAGGAGAGCAAAGUAUGUUAUCCCCAUUCUACAGACAGGAACACUGAGUCCUGGAGCGAUCACCUGACUUCCUAAUUCACGCCAUCAGGAGGUGGCCGAGCCAGAGGUAAACCACUGCUAUGGGCUGCAGAACAGCUUGGAGUGGCUGUCCAGGGCCAGUCCAGUGAGGGGCUUGGAGGAGAGCAGUCCACGAGCUCAGCAUGCCCAUCUGCGGAAUGGGGUCCCAACACAACCCGAUUGUGGGGAGAGGGUGUAGACGUGCCCUGUGCGGUGCCCCAGAGUUGUUGUCACAGAGAACUGGGUGUUGCAUUGCCAGCUCACCUCUCUGGAGUCCCCUGCCCUUGAGGGGCUUACAGGCUGAGGCAGGCAGGUGGAAGACAGAGAGACGGAGACAACUGUACAAACACCCUCGGGCGGAGCUCACGUAAGUCAACAAGCAAACAGAGGGCAGCCCGGCGGGAGUGACUAAUCGUCUUAAUAGUAACCACAGCGGCAGCGGGCAUAAGGCUCCCUGGCCACCGAGCGCAUCCCUGCUGAAGUCAUGGGGUGGCCAUUGAUGGGACCAGGCGGGAGCUCCAGGCCCAAGGAAGCUGGACCACCCUCCUCCCUGCACCUUCCUCCUCCUCUCCCUCCCCCUUCCGCCCUUCUUCAGGGCUUCAUUCUUUCUGGAUGUGGACGAGGAGCCCAGCGUUCACAACAGACCCCCACCGCUUCCCAGCGUGUGACCCUCAGCCACCCCUGGGUCGUAGAUGAGGAUAAUUCUGGAGCCUCCUCCAUUUGGUCUCGGGGAUAAUCUAGUGACUGGAUGUGGAUGCACACAGACAGAGCGCUCGGCUGCAGUUCCGAUUCCCACUUGGACGAGGCGGCGGUGGCCCCACGCUUUGCCCCAGAGGGAAGUGCCGUGGCUUCACCACACCCUUACUGCAGAUGGAGGAGAAAACGGACGCUCAGAGAGGGAAACUGACUUCCCUAAGAUCACCCCGCCACUUAGCGUUGGAGCAAAGCCAGGUGUGAACUUAAGUCACAGGACUCCUCGGGCAAAGCUUGAGGGGAGGCAAGAGCAAAGUUGGAAAGGCAGACCCCUCCCCAGGUCCCAGCCCCCCAGAGUGAGAGCCUUCCCCCUGUGGGACCUGCUGGGGGGCAUGCAGGGAUGGGCUUGUGUGUCCAUGUGUGACAUGGGGGCAAGACGGGCCUUGGGGGACCUGGAUCUGUGGCCACGUGGGCAGGCCAGGGAGUAAGAGAGGAUGAAGACACCCGGGGGCGGGGGUGGGGUGGGGGGGUAGCAGGAUGAGGGAUGGCCCCCAUGGGGGACAGUCAGCACCAGCCCCUGGGCCACUGGGGCCCUAUGUGCAGGUGCCAGGGGUGGGCGUCCCCUGCCAGAAGACCACCACAGAGUGGGGGCUCCAUCCCGGCCUCCACCCAUCAUCUCUCCGCCCAUCCCCCACCUCCCCCAGCUCCUUCCUGUUUUGAUGGAAGGAAAAAAUUUCAGCUUUUUCCUUCUUUAUUUUUCCAGACGGGUGACUCGCUCGCUGGGGAAAGGAAUUCCCCCCUCCCCAAACCAUCAUAAUACCUAUAAAUCGAUGCCAUAGAUCCAGGCCCAUCCUGUUGUGCGGGAUAGUCACCGCUAUUUUUGGGUGCUGUUGUGGGGGUGGUACCCCAGGGGAGGGGAUGGGGAGGGGCGGUCUCGGCUGCCUUCUCCCAGUCCACGUCCCCCCCUCCCCACGUUCNNNNNNCCCCACCCCCCUCCCUGCCCGAGUUCUGGGAGGAGGAAGGAAGCCUGCUUAGCCGGGUAUAAAUAACUCAGGUGACUACUCAGCUCCUGAGAACAUGGUAACAUGAGUCACGAUGUGAAAUCAAGAGGAGCAGAGAACAGCCUUGGGCCGCCCCCCACACACACACCCGCCCAGGGCAGUGCGGCUGCGGGCGGAGGAGAUCUGGGGCCCGGAGACCCCCGGUGGGCAGCGCCCGGGAGGACAGGCCCAGCUGCCGGCCCAUGUGUGGUCUCGGGCGAGCCUCCACCGAGCUUAGACUCUUCGUUCACUCAUCUGGAACCCAGGGCGGAGUGGCCUGGGCUCGGUUCCCAAGGCCCUCCCUGAGCCGGGAAGAGCGUGAGAGCAGGGCCAGGGUCUGGGCACCUCAGCCCUGGCCUCUCCCUUCGCCUGUCACAGUCAGUGGGAAGAGCAGUUCUCUUGGAACUUCGGGUCCCCUCCCCCCAUGUCCAAGGCAGGUGUCCAAGGAGUUCCCUGGGCCUCCAUGGGACUGGCAGGACAGGUGGCCGGGGCUGAGAGAAGAGCACAAGCUUCUGGACACUUGGCCUCCCGAGCCUUCCUCCACCGGGGGGACCUUGAACCAGGUACAACCCCCAACCUCCUUUGCCUGCCUGGCCGCCUUGUAGAUGGUGUAGACAUGAGGCGUGGAUGCAACAGGACGCUCUCAAGGAUCACCGGCUUAGCCAAUGGGAU